UACGUAGGGGGCAAGCGUUGUCCGGAUUUAUUGGGCGUAAAGAGCGUGUAGGCGGCCAGGUAGGUCGGUUGUGAAAACUGGAGGCUCAACCUUCAGAGGUCGACCGAAACCAUCUGGCUAGAGUCCGGGAGAGGAGAGUGGAAUUCCUGGUGUAGCGGUGAAAUGCGCAGAUAUCAUAAGGAACACCGGUGGCGAAGGCGGUUACCUGGAAGAUUCCUGACUCUGAAACACGAAAGCCAGGGGAGCAAACGGG
rnacentral:rRNA from 1 species